rfam:Stegodyphus mimosarum contig74619, whole genome shotgun sequence.
GCCUUCGUGGUGUAGUGGUCAGCACACUGGACGCUUAUUCGAGAGGUCCAUGGUUCGAGUCCUGGCGAGGGCA